AUAGAGAUUUGGCAUAUACUAUAUAUAAUGAAACUGGAGCUAUACGGGGAAGAUUAGCGUGGCUUCUGAUAGAGGAUGACACACAAAAUCGUUAGGUGUUCGUGCUACUU
rnacentral:snRNA from 1 species